GAAAUGCGAUAAGUAGUGUGAAUUGCAGAAUUCAGUGAAUCAUCGAAUCUUUGAACGCACAUUGCGCCCUUUGGUAUUCCUUAGGGCAUGCCUGUUCGAGCGUCAUUUCAAACUUCAAGCCCCCCCUUUAGCUUGGUGUUGGGCGUCUGUCCUCCCCCCGGGACUCGCCUCAAAUGCAUUGGCAGCCGGCACGUUGGCUUCGAGCGCAGCAGAAACGCGCGCGGCGUCCGACGGUGCCCGGCUCUCCAGGAAGCCUCCACCUCAAGUUUGACCUCGGAUCAGGUAGGGAUACCCGCUGAACUUAA
rnacentral:misc_RNA from 1 species